UCAGAAGGCAUUUUUUCCCAAAAUAAUUGAAUUCUAGCAAGCAGGGCGUUAUCGUUUUGAAUGGGAAUAACACCUGACAGAGCUUGCAUUACUACUUCAAAGUCUGCAUCAAUUAGCGUGUCCCACAUUCCUUGUAUAACCGCAAGAGAAGUGGCUUGCAAUAACCUGACAGUUUGACCUUUGCUUCCACCUAAUAAAAACAGGAGAUCCCAUAUACGUAAUUGAGUAUGGAAGGGCACGCAUUGAUGAAAAACAGUGAGAUACCAACGUGUAGCAAAAGCAGAUGGUUCUGCUCCAAUUUCCGCCAGAUGUCUGCCUGAUUGUGUAAAACUUAACUCAUGCUUAAGCAUGUCAAAAGCCUUUAAAAGUGUAUCAAACCCGGAAGAAAACAAGUCCCCCAUGCCUCUAUUUUCCAAUAAAUUUACCAUCAUUAUAAAUGCUUGUUCUUCGGGAUAGUAAAUGAGCAAGGUCGCAGCAAUAGAAGCCAUUCCUUGAACGUAUCCAACACGAGGUAUAUAGAGAGCUACAGCAUGAAGAACUCUAAAUAGUAAACGUUGCCCUCCAAUGUAGCGUUUUCGGAAUAAGAAAUGUGUAGCAGCUGUUCUGGGAACAUCUAGGUCAAUUUGAACAUCAUAGUCACAAAUCUGCUCGUUCAAUUGGUAAUACUUGUCAAUCAGUUUUUUAUCAGGAAGAGAAUCCACAAGAAAGGACCACCACGCAAUAGAUCGCCAACAAUCUGGAAUCCCCUUAAAUGUACGUAAAAUUAACUUACGAGUUUUUCGAAAAGAAUGGAGCUGAUUACCGGAAACGAGGUGUAUUGAACACAUCGAUUUCCAUUUUUGAAUACGGGAAAGCUCUUUAGCUGAUAUUUCGUUGCGGUCAUGCGACUCGCCGGGAACAACCAUGAAGAUGCUUUCAUCAACGUACUUCAGCAUGUCAUCAUGGCCGAUUAAUUUAUUGCCAAGACGUUUGGCAGGGUUUGGUUUAUCUAAUGUUGGGUCUUUACUAACUUUAUAGAACCCUAAAUUAUUAACAUUAAAGUCUGAGCGAUAGUUUCCGUAACGAUCCACAUUUUCCAAUGACUCUUUUGUAUCGAUUUCUUGAACUUUUCCAUUAAUAGGUUCUGGUAUAUUUAAAUUAUUCUUGUCUUCUUGUAACCUGUACAACGACCGAAUUCGUUGCAAAUUGGUUGUUCUAGUUGGGGAAGGGUUUUCCAUGCUCUUUCAGAUAUAUCCUCAAUUCCGUCACUCUGGAGAAAACAGAUUACCUACUAAACUGUAUUAAAAUAUCCAACACAGAAAGAUUUAACAGGGGGGAAUUGUUUCCGAUGUAGUAAUGUUUACGGUCCCAAAAGACCGUCUAUCCCCAUAUAAGUCAGUACGUUAGAUCCCAAAAUCAAAAUAACCAAACAUGAAAAUCUUUUUUUGACGUUUUUAUAAUUUUUCAAGCAAUAAAUGCAUUCGUGCAAAUGCUUAUGAAUUUGGUUCUCGCUACAAAUUUAUUGGCUCUAUGUCAUUUCCAUUGAUGAAAACUAGUUAUAAAGUAGAGACCGAGACCCGAUCACAAAACAAAAAAACGACACGCUAUAUUGCUUU
rnacentral:lncRNA from 1 species